rnacentral:rRNA from 1 species
GACGAACGCUGGCGGCGUGCUUAACACAUGCAAGUCGAACGGAAAGGCCCUGCUUUUGUGGGGUGCUUGAGUGGCGAACGGGUGAGUAACACGUGAGUAACCUGCCCUUGACUUUGGGAUAACUUCAGGAAACUGGGGCUAAUACCGGAUAGGAGCUCCUGCUGCAUGGUGGGGGUUGGAAAGUUUCGGCGGUUGGGGAUGGACUCGCGGCUUAUCAGCUUGUUGGUGGGGUAGUGGCUUACCAAGGCUUUGACGGGUAGCCGGCCUGAGAGGGUGACCGGCCACAUUGGGACUGAGAUACGGCCCAGACUCCUACGGGAGGCAGCAGUGGGGAAUAUUGCACAAUGGGCGGAAGCCUGAUGCAGCAACGCCGCGUGCGGGAUGACGGCCUUCGGGUUGUAAACCGCUUUCGCCUGUGACGAAGCGUGAGUGACGGUAAUGGGUAAAGAAGCACCGGCUAACUACGCG